rnacentral:rRNA from 1 species
UACAGAGGGGGCUAGCGUUGUUCGGAAUCACUGGGUGUAAAGGGUGCGUAGGCGGUUAGUUAAGUCUGAUGUGAAAUCCCUCGGCUCAACUGGGGAACUGCAUUGGAAACUGGCUAGCUAGAGUACCGGAGAGGGAAUCGGAAUUCCUGGUGUAGCGGUGAAAUGCGUAGAUAUCUGGAGGAACACCGGUGGCGAAGGCGGCGUUCUGGACUGCAACUGACACUGAGGAACGAAAGCCAGGGGAGCAAACGGG